UAUUACUAGUAAAUGAUUUUAUUUCCAUUUCGCAACAAUUGCUUUUCAGUCAUGAGUUUGUAGGCAUGAGUUUGUUUUUUUGUUUAUUAUGAUCACAAAUAUUUCGCGUAUUUAUUCAUGCGAAGAAAGUUCUUUGUUAUUUGUAAAAUGUGCCUUGUUGUUUAUAUACGUUUUAUAGGUGUUUAUUUUUGAUGAAAAAAUUGAUUUGUACCUGACGAUUUUUUGUUCGACUACACCCAUAAGAAAAAUCUUCGUCUUUGCAGAGUGUCACGCUUUCGAACGACAUAUCAAGUUUUGUGCAAGCUACUUUCCUUUUGCUGUGAUAUCACGGCUAACAUGAUGACAAUGAAAAAGAUGAAAAUACUCAAACUUUCCUUUGCUCUAUUUCAGAGCUGCUUAUGGUUGGAUAUUGAAAUAAUUCUCAUGGAAAUACUUAAUUCUAUUGAACUCAAUGUUUCAUGAAUAAAUGAAUUAAAUUCUA